UUCAGAGGCUAUCCCUCGGGGGACAGGGAUAUCCCCUUUUUAAAUGGUUGCCACCCGUUUGGUUUGAGGGAUAGAAGGGAUAAGGAUAGCCAUUAUUCCUGGAAUAUUCCCUAAAACGGGGGAUGUGCGGAGCCGCCGAAAUCUCGCGGGCGAAGCCAGCCACCCUUCUCGUCUCACGCCCGAAGCGUUUUUCUCUCGCUCUCACCCCUCUCUGGAACAGAAAACACUCCUGGAAACAUUAUCCUCUCGAUUCGCUGGUGAGCGACCACGCUGGUGAAUCGUACAAGUGGAAUGGUCGAGCCAUGAGCGGCGGCGGCGGCCGCGCUGCCAUGGUCGGACCCAGAUAGGCACACGCCUGCGGCCCCCACCCGUGCCCCGCCAAAUGGGAGCGCGCCGCCGGUGACUUACGAUGCAGAGUGGCGGCGGCGGCGGCUUCAGUGCCUCUGUCUUUGGGUACGUGAUGCCGGUUUUAUUCGAUCUUUGGGUACGUGAUGCUGGUUUUAUUCGAUCUUGAUAUGCGCCUCUGUUCUCGAUCUGUUUCUGGUGGGCGCAACAACUUCGAUUUGAUCUGGCGGGUGGCACCAGUUGCAUCAGGAGAAAAUGAGGAGAGAAAGUGGUACGAGCAGGAGAUGGCUGAUGAGCUCAAGCUCUUCUACACGUUCAACUAGUUCUGAGAAUCGGCGAAGAUGCAGACCACAGAUGGAUCAGUUCACCUAUCACCAGUACUUGAUACAAAGAUUGUUGUGGUUGUGCACUAGUGUCUUCGAUAUGGAAUUAUUCGAUUAAAAUAAUGCAUGGUCAUCGCAGGAAUUUUUUAGUUAUCACCACAACGUAUCCAUCCCUCAGUCUCUCAAACCAAACACUUAAAAUGGCUAUCUCUAACCAUCCCACCCAACCAAACAAAAAAAGGGUUAUCCCUAGCCAGGUGGUUGGGGAUACCCUCAACCACCCAAACUUAUCCCGGGAACCAAACACAUCCUUAGUGUCUCGACUCUUUUCACAUAAAUGAAUUGGUGAAAGUC